AAAUUGAAGAGUUUGAUCAUGGCUCAGAUUGAACGCUGGCGGCAGGCCUAACACAUGCAAGUCGAACGGUAACAGGAAGCAGCUUGCUGCUUCGCUGACGAGUGGCGGACGGGUGAGUAAUGUCUGGGAAACUGCCUGAUGGAGGGGGAUAACUACUGGAAACGGUGGCUAAUACCGCAUAACGUCGCAAGACCAAAGAGGGGGACCUUCUGGCCUCUUGCCAUCAGAUGUGCCCAGAUGGGAUUAGCUAGUUGGUGAGGUAACGGCUCACCAAGGCGACGAUCCCUAGCUGGUCUGAGAGGAUGACCAGCCACACUGGAACUGAGACACGGUCCAGACUCCUACGGGAGGCAGCAGUGGGGAAUAUUGCACAAUGGGCGCAAGCCUGAUGCAGCCAUGCCGCGUGUAUGAAGAAGGCCUUCGGGUUGUAAAGUACUUUCAGCGGGGAGGAAGGUGUUGUGGUUAAUAACCACAGCAAUUGACGUUACCCGCAGAAGAAGCACCGGCUAACUCCGUGCCAGCAGCCGCGGUAAUACGGAGGGUGCAAGCGUUAAUCGGAAUUACUGGGCGUAAAGCGCACGCAGGCGGUCUGUCAAGUCGGAUGUGAAAUCCCCGGGCUCAACCUGGGAACUGCAUUCGAAACUGGCAGGCUUGAGUCUUGUAGAGGGGGGUAGAAUUCCAGGUGUAGCGGUGAAAUGCGUAGAGAUCUGGAGGAAUACCGGUGGCGAAGGCGGCCCCCUGGACAAAGACUGACGCUCAGGUGCGAAAGCGUGGGGAGCAAACAGGAUUAGAUACCCUGGUAGUCCACGCCGUAAACGAUGUCUACUUGGAGGUUGUGCCCUUGAGGCGUGGCUUCCGGAGCUAACGCGUUAAGUAGACCGCCUGGGGAGUACGGCCGCAAGGUUAAAACUCAAAUGAAUUGACGGGGGCCCGCACAAGCGGUGGAGCAUGUGGUUUAAUUCGAUGCAACGCGAAGAACC
rnacentral:rRNA from 1 species